rnacentral:ncRNA from 1 species
AUGGGAGAAGCUUAGAUGUUCUUGGAACUCUGCUUAAAUACCAGCAAAUUUCGGCAGGACGCCGAAAUAGAUGCAACCAAGCCAUGGAUGGCGACUUUGCAUCGUUUGCGUACGGUUAAAAUAAAAUACACUCAGAGUUACUAGAACAUCUUAGCUUCGUAC